UGCGGAAGGAUCAUUAUCGAAAUUAUAGGUGAGGGUUGUAGCUGGCCUCUCGGGGCAUGUGCACGCCCGAGCCCUUAAUCCACACACACCUGUGAACCUAUUGUAAGGGCCCUUAAAAAAGGCCUUUACGUCUUAUCAUCAACCCAUCGUAUGUCUCAUAGAAUGUAAAUAUAUGUCCUCGCCUUAAAAAGCGUUGAUAAACUUAUACAACUUUCAACAACGGAUCUCUUGGCUCUCGCAUCGAUGAAGAACGCAGCGAAAUGCGAUAAGUAAUGUGAAUUGCAGAUUUUCAGUGAAUCAUCGAAUCUUUGAACGCACCUUGCGCUCCUUGGUAUUCCGAGGAGCAUGCCUGUUUGAGUGUCAUUAAAUUCUCAACUCNGAUCGAUUUGUUUCGACUUCGGAGCUUGGAUUUGGAGCGUGCUGGCGUCGGUCGGCUCCUCUUAAAUGCAUCAGCGGAAUCUAACGUUUCGGACGUCAGUGUGAUAAUCANGUUGCGCUGUCUGUCUGAUCCGAAAGCCCGCUCAC
rnacentral:rRNA from 1 species